GAUGAACGCUGGCGGCGUGCCUAAUACAUGCAAGUCGAGCGAACGGACGAGAAGCUUGCUUCUCUGAUGUUAGCGGCGGACGGGUGAGUAACGCGUGGAUAACCUACCUAUAAGACUGGGAUAACUUCGGGAAACCGGAGCUAAUACCGGAUAAUAUUUUGAACCGCAUGGUUCAAAAGUGAAAGACGGUCUUGCUGUCACUUAUAGAUGGAUCCGCGCUGCAUUAGCUAGUUGGUAAGGUUACGGCUUACCAAGGCAACGAUGCAUAGCCGACCUGAGAGGGUGAUCGGCCACACUGGAACUGAGACACGGUCCAGACUCCUACGGGAGGCAGCAGUAGGGAAUCUUCCGCAAUGGGCGAAAGCCUGACGGAGCAACGCCGCGUGAGUGAUGAAGGUCUUCGGAUCGUAAAACUCUGUUAUUAGGGAAGAACAUAUGUGUAAGUAACUGUGCACAUCUUGACGGUACCUAAUCAGAAAGCCACGGCUAACUACGUG
rnacentral:rRNA from 1 species